UACGUAGGGUGCAAGCGUUAAUCGGAAUUACUGGGCGUAAAGCGUGCGCAGGCGGUGAUGUAAGACAGAUGUGAAAUCCCCGGGCUCAACCUGGGAACUGCAUUUGUGACUGCAUCGCUGGAGUGCGGCAGAGGGGGAUGGAAUUCCGCGUGUAGCAGUGAAAUGCGUAGAUAUUGGGAGGAACACCGGUGGCGAAGGCGGCCCCCUGGACCGGUACUGACGCUGAGGCGCGAAAGCGUGGGUAGCAAACGGG
rnacentral:rRNA from 1 species